rnacentral:lncRNA from 1 species
CCCUUGCCUGUCAUCAAGCCUCACUGUGGUGUCAGAUUACCUCCUGAUCGCUAUUGCCUUGCCCAGUGCAAUUACAAAUUAAAAUCCAUGUCAGCGAAAAAGCCAAUCAAACCUCUGUCUACAUUCCAAAGUUCCUCUUCAUUGGGCAAAGGUGUAGCAAGACCUCCUCAAACGCCAACCAUGAAGAAGCCUCCUCAAGGACCUACCAUCAAAAUUGCUCCUAAACCUAUUGUUAAAGUUGCCUCAGGAGCUGAUGAGCUACAGACACUAAAGGACCCUUCUUCAUCUACAACAUCAGCUCAAGGAAGUCAGAAGAUGUUGUGGUCAAAAUGGAAACCGAUGAAAUCAUAGAGACUGUUGUUGUGAAACAAGAGACCUAUGAUUGUUUGAUAGAUCUUAGAUCUUCAUAUCCCCUCAAUGACUCCAUCAAGAUUCUGGAAGACAUGGCAAGCGUCAAAACAUUUUUACGUUUAUUCUUUUCCUUUCGAAGUAAUUGAAAAAAAUCGGGAAUCCAGAAGAAAUUCAUGCUCUUGAAAAAUAUGCAUUCAUGAGGUAAAAGUCAGAAGAAAAUUUCUCCCAAUUAUUCUAUCAAGAUCCAGCUAGGUGUGGCAAGCGGUUAAGCGUUUUGCAAUGGUUCUUUUCCAUCAAUACAGCUGAAAAAUCGGGAUCCUGGAAAUGUUCACAAGCUUGAAGAUAUGCUUAUCAAAAGCCGAAAAGAAAUAAUAUCAUUAUCUCAAGAGUAAAGAUGCAGAUUAUCAUGAUAAGUUGUAAAUACUGUACCAUUUCCACAGAAAAAUCAUUGACCUGUUGUUUUUUUAGUGUGAUAAGAACAAAAAAUCUGGAAGAAAUUGCCAGACAAUCUGCCAGCAUUAGGAAUUAAAAUAAUCAGGAAAAAGUACAAAACUGUCAGGGAAACAGAGAAGACUCAGCUUCAGUCAAGUCUACACUCCUCAUAUUAAGGUAACACAUAUGCUGUUUGAACAAGACUAUAUGAAAUUCAACUUUAAUCUGAAACGGGGUCCAACUGGCUUUUCUGUGAAGAAAUAUUAAAAGAACGCCAUAAAAAUUGAAAGAUCACUAUUUGGUAGAAAAUACUGACAGACUAAAAGUAAAAAUCUGUAGAAUAUAACUAAAAUAAAUAGAGGUUCUGCUGUUCUGACAUGUAAUAAUAUGAUAAAAUAAAAUCCGUCAGUUACAGUUUAAGGAAUUGACCUGGUCAUUUAUGAGCUUGUUCAAGUUUAUAAUGAGCUUAUACAUCCCAAAAAUGUUUGAAUGAUCCACAAGUUAAGAAAACUGAAUGUCAAACUUGAAGGUAUCCAAAGAUAAUAUUACUUUCUGUUUCUCUUAAGAUCAUGCUAGAAGAUGCCAAAGGGAAGGUGAAAUUUCAGAAUGAUUCUUGGUGAAAAAACCUAAUCUCAUUGGUUGAAACCAAUGACCCAAUACUGUGAUGAAUUAAAGUUUUCACCAGUUAUUCUGUAUCGUGCUCUUUAUGGAAUUUUGUCAAACUUUUUUUUUCUGAAUUAUUUUUUUACUUGAUUAUUGUAAUAAAAAUGCACAAUGAUCAAAUAUCAAUAAACAUUUACGUAUGUUCAACAGAGUUCAUAUUUUUGCCCACUGUCAUUUGAAUCCAAAUUUCUCUGCCCACUUGAAUGAAUCUCUGACUUGAAUCAUCAUAACAUUAAAAUUAAGUUACACAAUUUCCUCUUCAGUUACUUAUUUCAAGAGUCCCAUUGUGUGACAAAAAGAAAAAAAAAAAGAAAAAAAAAGAAGAAAAAAACUUUCAAACAGAUCUUUCCCCAAGUCAUUAUCACUAGGGCAUGAACAUGUAAUAGUUACAACAUGAUCAGAAAAAUAGGGGUCAGUUGUUUUUAUGGAUGGAUAUCAUAAG